UACGUAGGGUGCGAGCGUUAAUCGGAAUUACCGGGCGUAAAGUGUGCGCAGGCGGCUGAGCAAGUCGAGUGUGAAAGCCCCGGGCUUAACUUGGGAAUUGCGCUCGAAACUACUUGGCUUGAGUGUGGCAGAGGAAGGUGGAAUUCCACGUGUAGCGGUGAAAUGCGUAGAGAUGUGGAGGAACACCGAUGGCGAAGGCAGCCUUCUGGGCCAACACUGACGCUCAUGCACGAAAGCGUGGGGAGCAAACAGG
rnacentral:rRNA from 1 species